UCCCUGGUGGACUAGUGGUUAGGCCACAGCCUUCUCCCUGCUGCGCUCCGGGUUCGAUUCCCGGCCAGGGAA